GGUGAACUAGGCUGAGUGUGGUGGCUCAUGCCUGUAAUCCCAGCUUUUUAGGAGGCCGAGGGAGGAUCACUUGAGCACAAGAGUUCCAGACUAGGCUGGACAACACUUCCAGACCCCAUCUCUACAAAAAAUUAAAAAAAUUAGCCAGGUGUGUGGCUAGUUUUGGGAAGACAACUCACAUUUUAGGCUAAAGUUAGACAUUCGUUUAUUUGUUUUGAGUACUCCUAGCUACUGAGGAGGCUGAGGUGGGAGGAUUGCCUGAGCCUAGGAGUUGUUGGCUGCAGUGAACUAUGAUUGAGUCACUUUACUCCAGCUUGAGUGACAAAGUGAGAUCCUGUCUUAAAUAAAAGAAAAACUUGGUGAACUUUUUCCAUUUCUCUGCAUCUUGCUAGCGGAAGAUAAGCCCCUAUAUCUUGGCAACUUCCUAUGCUUUAACUCCCAAAGUGGAAUUUGUGUUACUCAUAUGCUAUAUGUACUAAAAAAAGUUUUUAUUUUUUAAUUUUAGGAAGUCUGUUUGUUAUGAUUAAAAUCACAGACCUGAGCUCAUUUUAGAGAGACCUAUCUUCAUUUUGAGUUUUUCCAAAGAUUUAUUGAAGCAGAACCAAGUUGGUUGGAUA
rnacentral:lncRNA from 10 species